rnacentral:rRNA from 1 species
GAUGAACGCUGGCGGCGUGCCUAAUACAUGCAAGUCGAGCGAACAGACGAGGAGCUUGCUCCUCUGACGUUAGCGGCGGACGGGUGAGUAACACGUGGAUAACCUACCUAUAAGACUGGGAUAACUUCGGGAAACCGGAGCUAAUACCGGAUAAUAUAUUGAACCGCAUGGUUCAAUAGUGAAAGACGGUUUUGCUGUCACUUAUAGAUGGAUCCGCGCCGCAUUAGCUAGUUGGUAAGGUAACGGCUUACCAAGGCAACGAUGCGUAGCCGACCUGAGAGGGUGAUCGGCCACACUGGAACUGAGACACGGCCCAGACUCCUACGGGAGGCAGCAGUAGGGAAUCUUCCGCAAAGGGCGAAAGCUUGACGGAGCAACGCCGCGUGAGUGAUGAAGGUCUUCGGAUCGUAAAACUCUGUUAUUAGGGAAGAACAAAUGUGUAAGUAACUAUGCACGUCUUGACGGUACCUAAUCAGAAAGCCACGGCUAACUACGUG